GGGGGCGGGUACCUGGCCGUGGUGGGAGGGCCUGGAGGCACCCGGGUGGGAGGUGUAGCGUGAAGGAGUAGAUUGUUUUCUUUCUUGGAGGCUCCUGCCAGGGCAAGUCCAGGGUCCACUCGCAAACCGGUAGUCCCAAGGGCCAGGCACAAAGUGCUCAGUAGACGUCGAAUGACACGCAAAAGUCAGAGCGGCGUGAGUGCCUACCCAGGCGAUGCCUGCGCUGGGCCCCGGGGAGCAGGAGAGGUCGGAGGACGCCGAGGUUGAGUUGGGUGUAGUGCAUGCUGUGUGGAAGAGGCCUUUUCCUCCCAAGGGCCUGGCGCAGGCAAACUCCAGGAGCAGUCCAGAUGUCCAUCAGCAGGGUGAAUGGAGAGACAAACUGGGGUAUUCACAAAAUGGAAUUAUACACAGCAGCAGUAACAAACUUUGAUACACACAGCAUACAUCGUGGAUGGCUCGCCACGUGGGUAAAUGGGCUUCAUGGGAGAUUAAUGGUGCUAAAUGGUGUUCAUCUAAUGGAGCAGAACAUGAGAGAGUACAUAUCUGCUUCUGGUUAGCUAAGUCUCAACAACAGGCGGCUCCUGGGAGGCCAGUGCUGGCCCCUCCCUGUUCUGACUUCCUGUCUGCCAGAUGAUCUCUCCCUCUCGCUGAAGUUCCCACCACUGUGGUUCCAUCCACUGUGAGGCUUUCCCCAGAGCCCAUUGAUGCCAGCACCAUGCCUUUGUAUCUCUAAACUAUAAGCCAAAUAAAACUUUUUCUUUACAAAAUCACC